UUAAGCGACUAAGCGUACACGGUGGAUGCCCUGGCAGUCAGAGGCGAUGAAGGACGUGCUAAUCUGCGAAAAGCGUCGGUAAGGUGAUAUGAACCGUUAUAGCCGGCGAUGUCCGAAUGGGGAAACCCAGUGUGAUUCGUCACACUAUCGUUAACUGAAUACAUAGGUUAACGAGGCGAACCGGGGGAACUGAAACAUCUAAGUACCCCGAGGAAAAGAAAUCAACCGAGAUUCCCCCAGUAGCGGCGAGCGAACGGGGAGCAGCCCAGAGUCUGAAUCAGCUUGUGUGUUAGUGGAACGGUCUGGAAAGUCCGACGGUACAGGGUGAUAGUCCCGUACACCAAAAUGCACAGGCUGUGAACUCGAAGAGUAGGGCGGGACACGUGGUAUCCUGUCUGAAUAUGGGGGGACCAUCCUCCAAGGCUAAAUACUCCUGACUGACCGAUAGUGAACCAGUACCGUGAGGGAAAGGCGAAAAGAACCCCGGCGAGGGGAGUGAAAAAGAACCUGAAACCGUGUACGUACAAGCAGUGGGAGCACCUUCGGGUGUGACUGCGUACCUUUUGUAUAAUGGGUCAGCGACUUAUAUUCUGUAGCAAGGUUAACCGUAUAGGGGAGCCGCAGGGAAACCGAGUCUUAACUGGGCGUUAAGUUGCAGGGUAUAGACCCGAAACCCGGUGAUCUAGCCAUGGGCAGGUUGAAGGUUGGGUAACACUAACUGGAGGACCGAACCGACUAAUGUUGAAAAAUUAGCGGAUGACUUGUGGCUGGGGGUGAAAGGCCAAUCAAACCGGGAGAUAGCUGGUUCUCCCCGAAAGCUAUUUAGGUAGCGCCUCGUGAACUCAUCUUCGGGGGUAGAGCACUGUUUCGGCUAGGGGGUCAUCCCGACUUACCAACCCGAUGCAAACUACGAAUACCGAAGAAUGUUAUCACGGGAGACACACGGCGGGUGCUAACGUCCGUCGUGAAGAGGGAAACAACCCAGACCGCCAGCUAAGGUCCCAAAGUCAUGGUUAAGUGGGAAACGAUGUGGGAAGGCACAGACAGCCAGGAUGUUGGCUUAGAAGCAGCCAUCAUUUAAAGAAAGCGUAAUAGCUCACUGGUCGAGUCGGCCUGCGCGGAAGAUGUAACGGGGCUAAACCAUGCACCGAAGCUGCGGCAGCGACACUAUGUGUUGUUGGGUAGGGGAGCGUUCUGUAAGCCUGCGAAGGUGACCUGUGAGGGUUGCUGGAGGUAUCAGAAGUGCGAAUGCUGACAUAAGUAACGAUAAAGCGGGUGAAAAGCCCGCUCGCCGGAAGACCAAGGGUUCCUGUCCAACGUUAAUCGGGGCAGGGUGAGUCGACCCCUAAGGCGAGGCCGAAAGGCGUAGUCGAUGGGAAACAGGUUAAUAUUCCUGUACUUGGUGUUACUGCGAAGGGGGGACGGAGAAGGCUAUGUUAGCCGGGCGACGGUUGUCCCGGUUUAAGCAUGUAGGCUGAUUAUCCAGGCAAAUCCGGAUAAUCAAGGCUGAGGUGUGAUGACGAGGCACUACGGUGCUGAAGUAACAAAUGCCCUGCUUCCAGGAAAAGCCUCUAAGCAUCAGGUAACAUCAAAUCGUACCCCAAACCGACACAGGUGGUCAGGUAGAGAAUACCAAGGCGCUUGAGAGAACUCGGGUGAAGGAACUAGGCAAAAUGGUGCCGUAACUUCGGGAGAAGGCACGCUGGUGUGUAGGUGAAGCCCCUGCGGAUGGAGCUGAGACCAGUCGAAGAUACCAGCUGGCUGCAACUGUUUAUUAAAAACACAGCACUGUGCAAACACGAAAGUGGACGUAUACGGUGUGACGCCUGCCCGGUGCCGGAAGGUUAAUUGAUGGGGUUAUCCGUAAGGAGAAGCUCUUGAUCGAAGCCCCGGUAAACGGCGGCCGUAACUAUAACGGUCCUAAGGUAGCGAAAUUCCUUGUCGGGUAAGUUCCGACCUGCACGAAUGGCGUAAUGAUGGCCAGGCUGUCUCCACCCGAGACUCAGUGAAAUUGAACUCGCUGUGAAGAUGCAGUGUACCCGCGGCAAGACGGAAAGACCCCGUGAACCUUUACUAUAGCUUGACACUGAACAUUGAGCCUUGAUGUGUAGGAUAGGUGGGAGGCUUUGAAGCGUGGACGCCAGUCUGCGUGGAGCCAACCUUGAAAUACCACCCUUUAAUGUUUGAUGUUCUAACGUUGGCCCCUGACCGGGGUUGCGGACAGUGUCUGGUGGGUAGUUUGACUGGGGCGGUCUCCUCCCAAAGCGUAACGGAGGAGCACGAAGGUUAGCUAAUCCUGGUCGGACAUCAGGAGGUUAGUGCAAUGGCAUAAGCUAGCUUGACUGCGAGCGUGACGGCGCGAGCAGGUGCGAAAGCAGGUCAUAGUGAUCCGGUGGUUCUGAAUGGAAGGGCCAUCGCUCAACGGAUAAAAGGUACUCCGGGGAUAACAGGCUGAUACCGCCCAAGAGUUCAUAUCGACGGCGGUGUUUGGCACCUCGAUGUCGGCUCAUCACAUCCUGGGGCUGAAGUAGGUCCCAAGGGUAUGGCUGUUCGCCAUUUAAAGUGGUACGCGAGCUGGGUUUAGAACGUCGUGAGACAGUUCGGUCCCUAUCUGCCGUGGGCGCUGGAGAAUUGAGGGGGGCUGCUCCUAGUACGAGAGGACCGGAGUGGACGCAUCACUGGUGUUCGGGUUGUCAUGCCAAUGGCACUGCCCGGUAGCUAAAUGCGGAAGAGAUAAGUGCUGAAAGCAUCUAAGCACGAAACUUGCCCCGAGAUGAGUUCUCCCUGAGACUUUAAGUCUCCUGAAGGAACGUUAAAGACGAUGACGUUGAUAGGCCGGGUGUGUAAGCGCAGCGAUGCGUUGAGCUAACCGGUACUAAUGAACCGUGAGGCUUAACCUU
rnacentral:rRNA from 1 species